CGGGAUCCCAGCCCCGCAGAGCAGCCGGGGUGCAAGUCAGAGGGGAGCACGCUUGCACGCUGAGGUUUCUCCAGGAGGACUGCCCGCAGGUGAGCCCAGGUGCUGGCAAACACUCCCCAGCAUGAGCUGCUGCAUGCAAGUGAUGACCUUUAGGAAUGCUGGCAUCUCCCAGUGCUGAAGGAGCAGGAGCAUGAAUCAGCAGAAGGGAGCAGAGGGGGAAAAAAAGGUGGUUAAAAAGGAGCCUGCUGUUAGCAUCAGGAGUCUCUGCCUGCUGUGAGACGCUGCCACAUCAGCAGGACCAGCCUGAGGCACAGCACAGGUGCUGCCCCUGCCUCACUCAUCCCUUCCCAUCCCGGGAGGUGGGACUGUGCCUGGCACAAAUGUGAUGUGUCCCAAUUUCUGCGGAGGGUCUGGCUGUCCCCAGCAGGAGCUCUCAUUAUGACAGGCACGGGAUGAACCCCAGCAGAGCCCAGACUGGAUAAUAUU